CACGGUGGGAGGAGCUGGGCUUCAAUGAUGGGAGGAGAUUGUGAUUGUUCCCAACGGGCUAAGCAAACCCUAAAAGAAGGCAAGCCUUUAAAUUUAUUCCUGUCUGGAGGGGCCAGGUAUCCUCAACAAAGUUCAUGUGGGAUGGGCUUCAGAAGCCAGGGAUUGAAGGACUACCAUGAGUAGUUGCUAGAAAGGACAGGCCAACCGUACAGCAUCCUUGUGAUCAGAUGGAUUUGGUGGCUGACAGGAAAAGACAGGCGAGCAGCAGGGCAUGUCUGCUGAAGGCCGUGUAGGACCCAGGGGACAUGCGUGCCUUCACCUACCUCCCCGCUGGCUGGCUGGGGAAGGGAGAAUUAUUGACAUUUGUUGUUCUC